UACAGAGGUCCCAAGCGUUGUUCGGAUUCAUUGGGCGUAAAGCGCGUGUAGGCGGCCUGGCAAGUUGGGUGUGAAAGCCCUCGGCUUAACCGAGGAAGUGCGCCCAAAACUACGAGGCUUGAGUACCGGAGAGGGUGGCGGAAUUCCCGGUGUAGAGGUGAAAUUCGUAGAUAUCGGGAGGAACACCAGUGGCGAAGGCGGCCACCUGGACGGAUACUGACGCUGAGACGCGAAAGCGUGGGUAGCAAACAGG
rnacentral:rRNA from 1 species